UACGUAGGGUGCAAGCGUUGUCCGGAAUUAUUGGGCGUAAAGAGCUCGUAGGCGGUUUGUUGCGUCGGCUGUGAAAUCCCGAGGCUCAACCUCGGGUCUGCAGUCGAUACGAGCAAACUAGAGUGUUGCAGGGGAGACUGGAAUUCCUGGUGUAGCGGUGAAUGCGCAGAUAUCAGGAGGAACACCGGUGGCGAAGGCGGGUCUCUGGGGCAAG
rnacentral:rRNA from 1 species